rnacentral:rRNA from 1 species
GAUGAACGCUGGCGGCGUGCCUAAUACAUGCAAGUCGAGCGAACAGACGAGGAUCUUGCUCCUCUGACGUUAGCAACGGACGGGUGAGUCACACGUAGAUAACCUACCUAUAAGACUGGGAUAACUUCGAGAAACCGGAGCUAAUACCGGAUAAUAUAUUGAACCGCAUGGUUCAAUAGUGAAAGACGGUUUUGCUGUCACUUAUAGAUCGAUCCGCUCCGCAUUAGCUAGUUGGUAAGGUAACGGCUUACCAAGGCAACGAUGCGUAGCCGACCUGAGAGGGUGAUCGGCCACACUGGAACUGAGACACGGUCCAGACUCCUACGGGAGGCAGCAGUAGGGAAUCUUCCGCAAUGGGCGAAAGCCUGACGGAGCAACGCCGCGUGAGUGAUGAAGGUCUUCGGAUCGUAAAACUCUGUUAUUAGGGAAGAACAAAUGUGUAAGUAACUAUGCACGUCUUGACGGUACCUAAUCAGAAAGCCACGGCUAACUACGUG